rnacentral:rRNA from 1 species
UAUUGGUCAAUGGGCGUAAGCCUGAACCAGCCAAGUCGCGUGAGGGAAGACGGUCCUACGGAUUGUAAACCACUUUUGCCGGGGAGCAACGGGGUCCUUGCGAGGGCCUUAUGAGAGUACCCGGAGAAAAGGCAUCGGCUAACUCCGUGCCAGCAGCCGCGGUAAUACGGAGGAUGCGAGCGUUAUCCGGAUUUAUUGGGUUUAAAGGGUGCGUAGGCGGCGAGUUAAGUAAGCGGUAAAAGCCCGGGGCUCAACCCCGGCCCGCCGUUGAAACUGGCUGGCUUGAGUUGGGGAAAGGCAGGCGGAAUGCGCGGCGUAGCGGUGAAAUGCAUAGAUAUCGCGCAGAACCCCGAUUGCGAAGGCAGCCUGCCGGCCCCACACUGACGCUGAGGCACGGAAGCGUGGGUAUCGAACAGG